CGGGCGGGGGCGCGCUGGCAGGGGACGGUGCCCGCUGUCUCGAGCUGGCUCUCCCCUGCCAAGCAGUGCUCUGGUGGGGCAGAGGUGAGCCGCGUUCGGAGAAGGGACGCUGGCCUCGCUGAAAGCCAGGAAGUCCAGGUUAUCAUAUAUUCUACUGGGGCCCAAGAAGUUGCCAAUGUAGACCACAGAUAACAGAUGAAGGAAGAGCCCGGCUGAGUCUCCUGGCCCGACACUCUCUUGUUACAGAUAAGCCAACUGAGGCUUGGGAAGGCGACUCCCAGUCCGGCCAUCUCUCCCCCUCUCCAGGCUCCUUCCUGACCCACAUGGAUCAAAUCCUUGGCCUCCCUGGACCUAAGCCCAUGCAUGGUGCAGUAAAGAAAUACCUCAGGCUGGAGCCCCGUACCCUGCCUCAGAUUCCCUGUGUCUGCCUUUCUGGCUCCGUCUUCUUCCCGGCUCCAGCUCCUGCCCCCAGAGGUCUUGGGCUAUCACAGCUGUUUGCCCCAGACAGCCCCAGGAGGCCUAGCCCUAUUAUGCCCCCGCCAAAGCAACAUCUGGGCAAAGUCCACCAGUCUCCAGGCCUCUUCUCUUGUUUUCUGUCUGGAGAUGAAGGGGGCUCUUCCUGGGCCCCUGGGAGUGAGGAUUAGGAGGUUUACAACGUGUCUGUCCUCUAAGUUUGGAAAGAGGCAAUAAAUUCAGCUUCAGAUCUGCUGCUGUCCCCAA